AAGGAUGAGUGGAACAUCUUAAAUCCGUUGUUUGGGUUGUAGCUCCAGUAACAGCCCUUCAGCAGACUCACCAAAAGCAUCUUGACAUCCCUUCUGACAUGUGUACGUCCUCCCAAGCAGCCCGCCACCAAAAUAAUCGUUUUCCGAGCUGAAUCUAUCAAAGGCGUUCCUCAGGGCAUCCUCAGUGCUGAGCAGCCGCUGGCGCAGGCGGUUCACCUCUGAGUCCAGGGCCGAGGGGUCGAGCAUGGAGUGUCGCCGGUGGUCCGGUGAAGAUCGUUCCCGACCCUGAA